CUUCCGAGUUGAGUCAGGCAAGGUGGCCAGAGGCGACCCAGGAGAUCUGCUCAGGCUGCAGGCCUUGGGCCACCCCACUGCACUGGGCUCUCCCUCUGUGUGUCAGGGAAACUGAGGCCCAGAGAGGGGACACGACUAAGCCUAAGGUGACACAGCUUGUCCAAAACUGGUGGCACUGCUGCUCUACCAGGUCCUGAACACCGUGCCCGUUGUGCCAAGGCUCUGCCUGGACGGGAGCACCCUGCUGACCCCACCCCGGGAAGCCCCGUGAGUCACACCAAGAAGCCCUGUAGAAAUGACACCGAGUGAGAAGAGGGAUCAGGAGGCCACAUCAUGACCUACCUUGGAGGUGGUCCCUCACCAGCAGCUGCCCCAUCCUCCACCACAUCAACUGGAGAGAAACCGUGUGGAAGAACUUGACUCACAGAUUCCUGACUCACAGAAUCAUGAGUUGUUUUGUGCUCUGAGGACUGGGACUGCUUGUGUGCAUAACAGUCAGCCAGAAUCAUGACCAGUCAUCCCCAGGAAGUCAGCCUCAACGUGUGUGAGCUCCUUCAAGCUGCUCUCCUGGAAGGGAUGCCGUGUGGUCUACCCAAGGGCCUUCCCAGUUCCUACCUGGCUUCAACCUAACACAUUUAUUUAUGAUUGCCCAAUUCUUUAUGAAAGACUGUAGUCCUAAACCACUCCCUAGUUUUUGAUUCAUCAGAUGCUGAGCACCUCAGGCUGAGACUGAGUCUUAGAUGGUGUUGUGAUUCCUCCAGCUAGAGGGUCUCUUGGCUACUGUGGUACCUGGAGCCCUCGUUUCCUAGGUGAGGUCCAGAGAGGUGCUGUGACUUCUCUGACACCAUCGAACAAAUCAGAGACAGAGUAGCCUGCACAGAAACAGCACUGGGACAUCUGACUCAAUGUGGAAGGUGGGCAGUGUGGCCCUGUAGAGAGAACUGUGCUGUUGACGGGGAGCUGGGCUACGGUGCUGCCUGUGCACUCCCCUCAAGGCUGUAACCCUCUCUUUAGGCCUCCACUGCUCACCAAAAUGAACACAUCCAGCUACCUCAGGGGGUCCCAACCCUGUCUGUGCAUUACAGUCGUAUUAGACUCAUCUCUGCCUGCUCUGACCUGGGGAUUCUGAUUUAAUUCAUCCAAGUCAAGGUCCAAACAACACUGACUUUUAAUUUCCUAAAAUAAAGUUUAACAUAUCCUCCCCCCAAA